GACGAACGCUGGCGGCGUGCUUAACACAUGCAAGUCGAACGGAAAGGCCCGGCUCUUGUGGGUUGCUCGAUUGGCGAACGGGUGAGUAACACGUGAGUAACCUGCCCCUGACUUUGGGAUAACUUCAGGAAACAGGGGCGAAUAUCGGGUAUGAGCUUCUGCUCCAUGUUGGGGGUUGGAAAGAGUCGGCGGUUGGGGAUGGACUGGCGGCUUAUCAGCUUGUUGGGGGGGUAGUGGCGUACAAAGGCUUUGACGGGUAGCCGGCCUGAGAGGGUGAACGGCCACCUUGCGACUGAGAUACGGCCCAGACUCCUACGGGAGGCAGCAGUGGGGAGUAUUGCACAGCGGGCGGAAGCCUGAUGCAGCGACGCCGCGUGCGGGAUGACGUCCUUCGGGUUGUGAACCGCUUUCGCCUGUGACGAAGAGUGAGUGACGGUAAUGGGUAAAGAAGCAACGGCUAACUACGUG
rnacentral:rRNA from 1 species